GACGGAGGAUGGCAAGCGUUAUCCGGAAUGAUUGGGCGUAAAGCGUCUGCAGGUGGCAGUUCAAGUCUGCUGUCAAAGACCGGGGCUUAACUUCGGAAAGGCAGUGGAAACUGAACAGCUAGAGUAUGGUAGGGGCAGAGGGAAUUCCUGGUGUAGCGGUGAAAUGCGUAGAGAUCAGGAAGAACAUCGGUGGCGAAGGCGCUCUGCUGGACCAUAACUGACACUCAGGGACGAAAGCUAGGGGAGCGAAUGGG
rnacentral:rRNA from 1 species